rnacentral:lncRNA from 10 species
AAAUACACCACUCCUUAGAUAUCCACAGCAUCAAGUUUAACCCAACUCAAACAUAGCCUUCUUCUUGUCCAGCAAGAAUGAAGGACACUUAGGACUAAGGCCACAGGCAGAGAGGUCACUGUCAGGUGAGGGGAUGAGGGCCCUUUCUCCCCUCCAUUUCUUCCAUUCUUUCUGUUUGAUCGCAUUACUGUUGAGAAAUACUGGUGAGGUGAUGCAGGUGAAAUCCUAGAUCAACUGAAUGUCAGGGCCAGGGGACAAACCCUGAGAGACACUGCACACAGUAACUCUGCUAUGUGUGGUGCUGUGUGAAUAAACCUCCAAGGCUCUCAGAGGAUCCACCCUCAUCCAAAAUUAUUUUCUCUAAUGACUUCCUCAACAUGUAUCAGUGCAGACUGCAGAGGCUGGCCUCUGGUUAAUUUCCAGAAAAUCAGCACAUUGGAGAAAAGAAAACCAACUCACUGUUCCCAGAGUGCCUGUGUGUUUUUUUCCUUCCUUCCUCUUCCAUUUCAAAGCCCUUUUGCUUUAUUCCAUGACAGCAGUAUGACUUUCUCUCUUGCCUAAUAGAGUAAACUUGCAUGCCAUGAGUGAUGCUGAGCCACUCUGAUGUUGUUUAUGACUUAACUGGUUCAUGUCCCCACCCUCCUUCAGGCUACCUCCUUCUAAGAGACACCAUCUCCUAUUGCUGACCUGCUCAGUUUUCCUGAAGAGACCCAGAGUGCACUGUGGCACAGCAUGUCAAAAUUAGCUUCUUUUCAGGUCUUUAAUCCAACUGCAAGGUUUACAGAAUGCAGAAUACCCUAUGCCCCAACUCCUCAGCUGUAGAGUUGAGAACUUAAUGGCAACUCCUCUGCCAAGGGCUGUUUCCACUCAGCAUCCAGGUCUGCCCCUGAGACAUGGACUUAGGUUUGCCAUUUCUGCUGCUUUUACAAAAUCCCCCUGACUGAAUGAAAGUCUAGCUCAAUAUAUCCCCCUACUUUAGGGUAUUUUAAGAUAAUUCUUGCAGACCUCAGGAAACUGCCUCUGAUGAGGGGAUUUCAAUCAUCUAUGCAAGAAAUUGGUGGAAAUGUUUUGAGAUAGAGGGAUUGCAGCUAUAUGGUACUUACAUUAAUUUACAUCUUGUUAAUAACCUCCUCUAGGUCCACAUGUGAUAAGGCCAUGCAUAAACAAGGAGACCGAUGAAAUGAAGUGUUGAUCACACUGCUUAGUCCCUCGCAUGAAGCCAUGAGCAGCACACAGAAAGUCAGCAAACUAUAAUCAAGCACUGUCUGUGGCUCUCAAAAGUUACUUGAUCCCCACUUUAACUUAUUCAGUUGUUAGAAUAACUAUGAAAUACAUAUUAGCUCCACUGUACAGAUGAGAAGAUGUGCAGAGUUCUUUAGCAACUUGCAGAAAAUCUCAGAGUUAUUAACGGUGAUGAUGUAAUGUGAACCCAGAUUUUUGAAGGCAGAUUCUAUACCUGAUGUUCUUUUAACUACAGUGCAUGUCUCAAAAGGAGGAACUUUAAAGUCAAAAGGUCCUUAGAAGCAAUGUGCCUUACACUGAUGAAACUGACGAUUAGAGGGACCAAUUUAAGAGGAGCAGCUUGAAGCAAAGAGGUCAGAAGACGGACUACAAGGAACAUGCUUUAUUGACACAUCAAACAGACUGCAGAACCAGGCAGCCUUCUCAGCAAAGAGACAAAGAGAAUAUUUCUACUAGGAAUAGGGAUGAGGCAGGGGCCAGCUACACCUGGAAGGCUUUCACCACAGAAUACUGCUGCCUGAAGAUGUUAUAAUAUACCCUACAAGUGAAGAAGGCCUAGCAGCUGGGUACUCUCCAUCUAAUCCACGGGAGGCAGGUACCCAGCGUGGACUUUCUGACAGUGACUGUCACCAUUAUCUCAGGUGGUUUCUGCACUCAGAUGAAGGGCUGCCUUUUCAGGUCUUGAUUUCCAUUGACUCCACUCUGCUUAUGCCAGCGGCUCCCAUGAUCACAAUCUAAACUUUCCUCUGAACUCACUAAUUAGAACAAACAUUUCGUAUUCUCAAACUUUUUAAUCAUCUUCUUCCACCCCACUCAAUACCCAUGUACAUACUCUUAACUAUGGCAUAUUAUGUCACCGUUAGGUUCAUGAGAUCAAUAGUAUGUCUCAUAUGGUACUACCUUCAAUGUGUGCCAAGAAUCCAACAACUCAAAUUGUUGAGCUUGAAUUUCUGCUGUUCAAACUGACUGGAAUUUAACCUGUUUUCUUAGCUUCUUUUUUUGAGAAUGAAGAUGUUUUUUCUACUGCCUUUCAUGAACAGUUCCUCCCCAUGCCUGGGUCCUUGCUCCUCUCCCUGAAUCCACUCCUCCAGUGUUCUCAUCACACUAAAUGAAGCCACCAGGUAUCCAAGUAGCUCAAAGCAGAAUUUUACAGAUGCUCUUGAAGUCACCCCCUUCCCUGCACCCCUCCAAAUGCAAUCUAUUAUCAAAUACUGCAAAUCAAUUCUGGAAAGCGAGAGAGGCUUGGCCUCCCUUGUCAGACCUAGAUCCUGGAAAUCUAUAGACUUAAGAAUAAAUGUCUUCCUGCUGGUGGGAUAUUAAGAUGAUAUAAAAUGUGAAUGAGCCCUGGGAAGGGAGCCUCUGUAUCCCAGAGUCUCAUGUGCUGAAUCGGAAAGUUAAGCACAGACCAAGUUAUCCUCAAUAGGCUAAAUUUUCUAGGACCUUGGAAUAUUCUGUAUUUAUUUCCCCCUUCUUUACAUCUGAGCCAUUUCUUAAAGGAGUGUUUAUUCACUGUUACCUGAUCUCUGGUUGGCUUUGAGGCACAUUAAGCAUAAACAUCAUGUCUGUCCUUAAUAACUGUGGCACAUGUGUUGAGCAUUUAUCAUCCAAGGCAGCAUGCUACGUGUUUUCCAUGUACUAAUUCAUUCAAUCCUCUCACUAAAUCUACAAAAUUGGCACAAUUGGUACUGUCAGUACUCCCAUUUUAUACAUGAAGCAACUGAGACUCACAGAAGUUAAAUAACGUGCUCCAAGUCAGAGCUAAUAAGUGACAUUUCACAGAUGAGAACACUGAGCCCAAAGAGGUUAAGUUCAGAUGCAUGUGGUAAACAGGUGGUCAAAUUGAUAUACUACCUAUAUCUGUUUGGAUCAGAUGCCUUUGGAAGGUUAACAAAAUUCAGCAAGUCCUGGGUAUAUUGUGUUCAUCUGAGUUGAAAUAAAUUUUGUCCAGUUCCUCAACAAGAAAACCAGCGUUCUAGCAGAGGAGAUAGAAUGCAUGUGAAGAGAAAUACUCUCAAAGCAAGAGCACGUUCUUGACUGGGACAAAAAGCCAAAAAUUAGGAACCAAAAAAGUCAUUGAAAAAGAGAAGUUAAAAUAGGGAGCUCUAGAAAAUGCUCAUAAACAGAGUGGGGUGCUGACUGCCUCAGUAGAGAAAAGGCUGAUAACUGUAUCAGGCUAGCCAAACAGGAGAACAUUAGGAUAGAGCAUUGUCACCAAGGAUAAUUUAGAAAGUAUAAGACAAAUCAAGCCAGUGGCGUUAUCCCAACAUUAUAAAGGCAAAGUCCAUUUUAGAAGCAGCCUAAUUCCUGAAACUUACACUUCUUUCCUGAAAGCUGUCACUGUCUUGUUCGUCAUGACAAAGAACAAUAGAAAUCUUUUGUCUUUUAGCCAGAUAUCAACAGUUUUAUUCCAUUUCUGUGGACCGUUGCAAAACACCAAGGAUGGAGUUCACUGUGGGACAGUGCAUGGGAUGAACAAAAGAGAAUUGAGUGGUUUUAUUAGGAUGUCAGCAAGCAAGGCAGAAGGGGUGCAAGGCUAGUACAAUGGGCGUUGUGUCACUAAGCACAGAUGCUCAAGGGUUGGGCCGAUCAUCAUAACUGAUUUGGAGCUCACACUAUGAGGUGAGAAAGAAAUACAUUUUUCCCCCUUAGAAAUAAGAAGGAAUGUGAAAAGAAAACCCAUUCUUUGUCCUGUAAGAGAUGCGGAAGGAGAGAACAGCAGCAUAAAUGUGUGCAUGAGUAAGAGGGAUUCUCACGCUUGGGUGAGAAAAAGCAAAUAAAGCCCACGCUUUGAUGUUAUAAGUAAUUUUAUCAAGGUCUUAUGGUGUGGCUUGCAGCAUUUGAAGAAUGAGGAGGAAAGGAAAGGCAUGUGUCUUGAUUGAAGCUUAAAAACUGCCAAAAAUUAACUUCGAGAAUUCCUGCCCUACUUGAUGAUGCCUCCGUAUUGCAGUUAGCAAAACUAUACAUGAAUUCCACAAGGAGUCUAUGGAUUGUCAUUAAGACAUCAGAAAUAUUUUAAUUGUAUUCAAAAUUAUGUGUUUGUGUGAAUGCACACAUUUUGAUAGAGGAGAGAAGUUUGCAGAGAUUUCAUAAAUUUCUUGAAGGAGACUAAGUUCCCAAAUAUUGAAGAAACACUGUCAGACAGUAUUGAUUUUUCCUACGUUCCCCUAUGUACCUGAUUUGGGUUUUCAUCACAUAGCUCAGGUAUCUUUGAAACUGAC